GAAACAUGGUGGUCAGAUUUGACACUACGACUUGCUGUGAUGGUUGGACGGUGAAUGACCCUGGAUGUACAGCUUUCCUCUAAAAUCCUGAAGAGCCUAUGUACAGCUCCCUCCUAUUUCUCUCCUUUCUCUGUAAGGCUGGCAUAACUCAGUAGAAGAGGAACCUAUGGCUUCAGACUUGAGCAUCUGUGGAAGCAUCAGUCACAUUAAGAAAGUCACAGCUGAGCUCAGAAUGAAGACUUCAACCAUUGGAUACCUUCAGUGAUCUGAAACAAUGCUUUCACAACGAAGAGUAAAGGUGACAAUGGACAUGAAGAAUGAGUAGUUUGUUUAAAAGUCCACUUCAUGAGCUUCCGUCUCCAGCACCUGGAACUAGACAGUGAUCCUGGACUUCUUGAAGUGGAGUGAGAGAUGAAAAAGAAAAUGGCCCAAGAGACAUUAGACUUGCUGAUCAUAGGAUAAAAAAUUAGAUACUAAAGAAUGAAAAUUAAUAAAGUUACCAAGAAGA